rnacentral:rRNA from 1 species
GUCUAUGGCCAUACCACCCUAAAUCUGCCUGCUCUUGUCUAAUCUCAGAAGGUAAGCAGGGUCAGGCCUGAUUAGUACAUGGAUGGGAGAAAAUAUGACUUGAAUCAUGUGAAAUCAGCCUGGAGAUU